CACAUCAAUAUCAUCACUACACACCCCGACUCUUGUGCUGGGGAACGCUCGAGCCUUCCACCCGCUCAACCAGCUUCUGCCUUUCGCUUUGCGCAGCGCCCUGCACGGAGGACUGUGAUAGAACCGAAAAAAAAGUCAACAGCAACAAAAACGGAGUGAAAGGUAGGGAAGUCGCUUCAAGCAGAUUGCAGCGAGGACAAAGAGACCGAUCGAGAGCGACAUCGCCCUGUUGAGCCUUCCCUUACUGUACAGCACACCCCUCAUCACGUGUGUUGUGGCUGUUUCCCUCUGAACCCGUCGCUGUAAGCCGCCUCUCUGCACAUUCUCUCUCAUAUUGCUUUCUCUCUCUCCUUUUCGCUUCCUUUCUCCACCCUCUUUCCCGUGUUGUUUCUUUUCGCGUGUGCGUGUAUUUUUCCUCCCCCUUUUUCUUUGCGUGUGUGUGGUGUUGUCGAGCUCGCGCGUAGGUUUAUGCUUCUAUCGUGGACAACAGGACAAGAGAACAAGGAAAGAACAAAGAAAAACGCAUAAACCAAAUCUCAGAAUUCUCAAAAAACUUUUCGUUUCGUUUGUGGAUUUCUUUCACGCUUCAAAAAAGACAUUGUAUUGCGUCAUCCCUUGGUUCGGUGGUUUUGUUCCUCUUUGUUUCUCCUCCACUCUCUCUGUUGUGUGUGUGUAUCUUUUUUUUCCCUUGCGUGGGCGGCCUCUGCUUCUCUCGUGCUGCUUUCUGCUUGUUUUUCGGGGGUUUUUAUUUCCUUUUGUGUGGGCGCGCUCGAGAGAUACUCCCUUCCCCCUCCGCCGCCUCAAUCUGAUCGCACCCUACCACGGCAGCUGUAUCAUACAGCCAUAUACACAUACCCAGUAGUGGAAGGGUUGCACAGCGACACUUUUUCUCUCCGUCGUUUUUUUUUUUUUGCUUGCUGGUGAGUGUGCGGGAUUCGACGCUCUGUUUGCGUCGACUACUGCCACUGCUACUACUACUGCUGAUCUCUCUCUCUCCUUCCGCCUUUCCUCCGAGGGUUUUCUUUGAUUGUUAUCUCUGUUCUUGUGUUGGCGUUUCUAGUUGGUGUUUGGCUUUUGUUGUAGUAGUCCGCGUUCCCUCUUCUCUUCACGCUUCAUAUUAUACAUUUUGGCUUAUUCCGUUCUUGGUUCUGUUUUUUUUUUUUGUUUGUUUCAUGAGUGGUAAGUUGGUAUCACUGCGUACACCCUCUCCUCUCCCUCUCCCUCAUUAAGCGUGUGUGCGCUCGUGGUUGCUUGUGGCUCUUUGUGUUUGAUUUUGUUAUUGUAUUCUCGGCAGCUUCUCUCUUCUUUCUCUCUCUCCAGUCACACUUCCUCUCGGCGCCACAAAGAACCAGGCACACAAUCUUCUCCCUUCUCUUUCCCGUCAGCUCAACGGUGCACCCCACCCCCUCCACCUCCCCCUCCCUACUUGCCCCAUCUCUCAGCCUCUCUCGGCUUGUAUACGGAAGCUGGCUGGCCGGCUACUAGCUCGUGUGCGCGUGCACUGCCGUUGGAGUCCGCGAGAAGGUUCUGGGGUGCAUGUGUAAGUUUCUCUGGACGUCUGUCACGCUACUGCGUUGCUUCGUCUCGCCUACACCUGAACGCUCUCACACGUUUCGAUUCCCGAGGCUCACGUAAACUGUAUACAAACGUGCAGACACCCCACACGAAGGGUGUUGGUUUCCUUUGUUUUCUUGUUCACAAGAGAAUCUGUCUACUCUCUCUCGGCGCUCUUGCGUCCAUCUUUUUGGUCUGCUGGUCCUCUCGUUUCCGUUAUCUCCGUGCGAUUCUCUCCUCUCCUGGGACUGCCACGCUCUCCGGUGUGUCUGCAACUCUUGGAUACACACCGUACCAAGAGCGCGAGGUUUCGGCUGACGCUGUUGUGUGUCGGGUGGUGUUUCUGUGCUCAUCACCUUAUUAUCAUCACGUUGUGCUCUUUCUUUUUUUUUUGAUUGGCGUGCAACUGUAGCAGCAGGAGACUCACGCGGACUGCCACUAACUGAAUCCGUGGCGAUAUUUUGGCCUUUGCGUCUGUUUGUUCGCCUUUAUCACCUCUACGGGUAACCCUUUUUUUCGACGCCUCUCUCUUUUUAGAGGUCGGCACCUGUAAAAAGGUGCAGCGGCAACACUGCAGAGACUACGCGCGCGCCCAGCAAGGGCUUCUCGCCUCAGGUUUUUGUGUGCCCUGAACCGUGUUGCAACCCCCGCUGCCUCCUUUUCUUUUCCUGCAAUCUGUUGUCUUGUUUCUUACACGAGGGACAGGGCACUUUGUCUGUUCUCUUCUUGUACAUCUCUUGUGUGCUGCCCCCCCUUCCCGCCCCUUCGCAUCUGAGAAAUCGCCUGUGCGUUCUUGGGGUGCGCACACACGCUUCCUUCGUUUUAUGUUUUUUUUGUUUGUUUGUUUGCUUUUGUCAUCGAUCGACUGUUUCUUGUUUGUGUGUUGCUCUCUCAAGGCUCAGCACGUGUAGCAAAACCAGUAUUCUGCGUCUUUCCGUUUGUUUUCGAGGUUUGGAGUUUCUGUGUCUGGGCGCUGCUAGGGUUCCGUCAGUCUUGCAGGUGUCGCGCUUCCGGUUUCACCAGUAGACUCCUUUGGGCGCCCGUGAGGCACAUCCCUUGCGCACCACCAUCGGCGUAAUCAUGGGCGGCGGCUUGUCAAAGAGCCAACUCAAUGUCCACUACCAAGGUGCGACAGAAGUGGAGAGUACCUACAUUGUCACUAAAACGGACCCCAACAACAACGUCGUAGGUGCCGCCUCAGCGACGAAGCCGUUGUCUGUGGUGGACGCGCAGUGGGCAAGAAACGCCACUGAGCCUCGUAGAGAUGGCGUCGCCGUUUCGGCAGCAGCGGCGGCGGCAGCACCACGCAAAGAGGAGGCGAGGGGGCUUGGCACCGCCCCCGCGAGAGCCGGAAGUGCCCUCGACGGCGUCGGCGGCAACCGCGGCACGAACUCCGCCACCUCGGCGGUGGACGACAAUGGCUCGCCCAUUCCCAUCCGAAACGGGGGGAGCCAUGUCGGGUACAUCUGUCUGAGCGACAUCAUCGGGGACAAGGACAGCCACAGCAAGUAUAUCAAGAUCAGUUCCAUCGGCAGAGGCGCCUACGGAGAGGCGUACGUAGUGAAGCGCAACCCGGCCUACGACGCGGCUGCACGGCCCAUGGUGGAGGCGCAGAUUCAAAGCAAUGCGCUGGCGAACCCGACACAGCCAAAUGGGUUGUAUGUGGCGAAGAUUAUGGACUUGCGCGCGAUGGUGUCGCAAGACCGGCAGUACGCACAGACCGAAAUUAUGUGCCUGGCGCACACGCAUCACUUCGCCAUCAUCCGCUAUUACGAGCACUACGUGCUUGACAGCGAUGACGAGACGGUGGUGAUCGUGACAGAGCUUGCGGAUCACGGUGACCUGCGCCGAAACUUGUAUAACGCCUCCGCGGUGCGUCCAUUUCUUGAGGCGGGCAGCCAAGCCACAACAGGCGGCAAUGCUGGCACUAAUGAUUCUCGGAUGCUGUUGACGGAGCGAGAGGCAGGCACAUACUUUGUGCAGCUGCUGUUAGCCCUGCAUCACAUCUCUGCGCGUCGCAUGAUCCACCGUGACAUCAAGAGUGCAAACGUGCUGCUUACCUCUCGCGGCUUCCUCAAGCUUGGCGACUUCGGUUUCUCCCAGAAGUACGAGAGCACUGUCAGUAGUGAGACAAUCGCCGGCACAUUUCUCGGCACCCCGUACUACCUCUCGCCAGAGAUGUGGAAAGGAAAGCGCUACGGCAAGAAGGCGGACGUCUGGGCGGCCGGCGUUGUGCUUUACGAAAUGCUAAUGGGUGGGCGCCGCCCUUUUGAGGCUGCCAGCUUGCCGGAGCUGCGCAUGUGCGUGCUCGAGGAGGAGUUUGUUCCACCUACGGGCCCACCGACAUCAGGGGCAGCCGAUGUGAACAGUCAGGAGGGCGGACAGCCAAAAUUUUCCAACGACAUGCGCGAACUGCUCGUCGCCAUUUUUCAGAAGGCGCCCGAGAAGCGUCCGAGUGCGGAGGAGCUGCUGCACAAGCCUGUCAUGCAGCACUACCUCUAUGUCUUUGAAAAGUAUGUCCAUUCUCUUAUCAGCUACGAUGCAGCGGCACUGGCGGCAAACCCGACGAUGGACCGGCAGGGACUCUACUUUGCCGACCCGGAGGAUCAGGCAAUGGUGCUGCAGGGCAUUGCAGAGGGGAAGGCGGCCAUUCAACAAGUGACGAAGCGCACGAUCUCCGAGAAUGCCUCGGCGCGGUUCGAGGGCGUCGUGUACAAGGAUAACCACAACGGUGUCUGGAAGGAGCGCUAUCUGCUGCUCGAUGGAGCCACGCUCACAAUUUCCCUGUCCAAGGGCAAGGAGGCCGUGGGCGGCGGUGAGCGCAGCAAACGAGUGCUGCUUUCCUCCAUCAAGUCAGUGAGCCCUUGUGAGGUGGAGGACGCGCACGUGCGCGUCGUGAACGCUGCGUCUCCUAGCGAUGGGUACAAGCCACCUUACGCCUUUGCCAUUGCGAUGCACAGCUCCAACUCUAUCGUCUUUGGUGUUGCUAGUGCUGAGGAGCUGGACCACUGGAUGCAGGCGCUCAUGCGUGCCCUGCAGAUCGAUUAAAGGGCGGGGGAGGGGAGGGCAAAGGCGGCAAACCAGCGCGAAGGAGAGGGCGAGACAGAGGAAAGGCAGAGGGAGGGGUUAUUCGGGACGAGAAGAGGAUGGUGCCCGCCGUCCAUCCAGAGAGUAGCGGCACUGAAGGAGAUCUGCGCCUAAAGACGCAUUGCCAGGUGUGCAUGCGACAGCCACCCGCCUUCGUCAGCUCGUGUGCUCGUAUCCCUCUUUCUCCUGCUCUUUCUUUCCCCGCUCCAUUUGUCGGGCAGCGGUAUCACGGCGCGGUGCUCUAUCCUAUUAUUUGCGCUUCUCGUGCGCACCUGCCGUCUGCAAGCUUCACGGAAUGGCACUCGGUGUCGCACAUAGCGCAUCCGUCCGCUUCCACUUUGACCUGCUCCUCUCUUGAUUUCUGCUGUAUCCUGUUCACGUCUCCUACUACCGUGCAACUCUCUAUAUGUGUGCUCUCCUCUUUUCUUCCCAUCACUUCCGUCGUUUUUUACUUUCUUUUUGUUUCGUGAUAUGCAUCUCUUUUAUGUUAGCGAAAUCGUUUCGUGGACAGCGAGUGCGGACGACGAGCCCUCGCGCUCUCUCGCUUCUCACCUGCCCCAUCACCCCUCCUUUCGUUCGCCCGCCAGCGAGUGCACCGCUCCAUUCGGGGGAAGCACAGAUGUGAAAGCGUCCUUCCUUUGCUUGCUCUGUUUCGCUGUCGUGGUGGCUUUUGAUCGAGCCACCGCGGUGCGGCGGGAUCGAGGGAUGAGGACGAGUGAUAUUUCUUGUUUUGUGUGUGUGUGCUCGGUUCCCGUGUUCAGUGAAAGCGAUCGCUUCAACUGUCAGCUGUAUCUGUAGUUUCAUGUUUGCUCGAGAAGGAUUCGAAAAGGCCUUAUGGUUUUUUUUCUCGCGUUGCUUUCACUGUCCGUGCCUUGAGAGUAAGCCCCCCCCCACCCCACGCUAUCCACCCCCCCCCCCUGCAUGUUUCCACCAGGUGUGUUGAGGAAGCUGUAAGGGCAGGCGGCUCUGCACUCUCUUCUGUACACAGACACAACAUAGACGCGUGUGCAUGCUAUUGAAUAAAGGACGCACUCUGUGCCUGCGCGUGCGGCCCUCCGUGUUACACACCCUCCUUCUUCUUUCUUUCAUCUCGGCCCCCGUCCCCCUGUCGUCGGACUCACAAACACACACACACACACACACACUGACGUUAGCGAACGGAAACAAACGACUUUACCCAAGUGCUGCUGAUGUUGUUGUCUUGUGUUUUUUUUUUCGUUUUGCUCUUUGUGUCUUGUCUGAGUUUUUUCCUUUUUUUUGUCGUUGUUUGUUCCCCAAGGUCGUUUUCGGUUCCGUUUUUGUCUCGGGGCUCUCUUCUUCUCUGCAUCCUCCUCUUUCCGCUUUUUGCUUUUCACCUCUCAUUCAUCACAACGUCGUCGCUCUGCGGUCGGUGAGGGACCUCCCUGCAGCUCCGUUGCUCUCUUUCGCGCGGUUCGCGUCGUUGUGCGUAUUGUUCAGCGUGACGGAUUGUGUCGCUGUCUAGUUCUGUGUGUGGGCAAGUGCGGCCAGCACGAGCACCACAAAUUCUACUGUUCUCGCCAGCGUUCCUUCUCACCUUUCUGCGCUCGCAUAGGUGAGCGGCUCCUUUUAUUUUGUCUGUUCUCAUUUUGGAGCUGCCUGGCGUCUCUGGCAGUGCCUCUGCGGCGCUUUCCUCAUGGGAGGGUGUUUAGAAAGCGGCAGGAAUGACGGUGACAUGUGUAUCUCUCUCUCGCGACAGGUAUCCUUUUUUUUUAUUUGGUGUGUGGCGAGAAGGUCUGAUCUUUUGCGUCUUCUCUCUCGCAUAUCAUGAUGGAGGCCGGCGGACGGGGUGGUGGUCGUUGGUGAGGGUGAAGGCGCCUCACGUUCGGGCGCCUGUCCACCUUUGUUUUCCCCGCUGCGCCUGUGCCGUUGUUCACGCGAGCGUGUACGAGCUCCUCCUGCGUACCACACUGUCUCUCUCUGCGCAUUUCUGUUAGUCUUUCUGGCAUCGCUCCCCUUUUCCCAGCAUCGUAGACGCUCUCACGUUCAUGUCUGUGAGAGCAGGUGAACUUGCAUCCGGUGUGCCUGAGCAACCUUUCCCUACGAUCUACAAGGCCUGCCCUUUUUUUCUUCUGCUUGUGUGUAACCUUCCCAAUAGCAAGAGUGAUAUCACCCCGCUUUUGUUGCUGUUGGCACCACGGCUACAUCCAACGGAGUCUAUCUGGGUUGGGACAGGGCUGUGAUGCUGUCGCCCGUUCUACUAUAUAUUAUGGCCCUUCUUGUUUCGCAGCGAGGCCUCUGUAAACCGCAUGAAAUGCGACAACAACAAGGGAGGGAGAGAACAUGUAUAAAUAUAUAUAUAUAUAUAACUUUGCUUCACGUCUGCCUUUCUGUUUCUUUUUUUUUUCUUGUGCGCCGUUACACACCUUCCCCCUCCUCCUCAUGAGCUCAUCGGUCACACCUCAAAACCAAAAAGAAAGAGAGGAAGCUACCUUUGCUGGUUCGCUUGUCUGUUCUGCUGGUUUCCUUUCUUGUAUUGCAUUCAGCAGCAGCAGCACCAGCGAGAGAUUUUUCUUUUUUGCAUUCUGGUUCUCUCGUUUCUGUUGUGCUUCCACAUCUCUCUCUAUGUGUGUGUGCCCGUGUGCAUAUGGCUUGGAUGGUUGGGGUGUGGAGAGGGGGAGAGGGGCUCUACUUCACUUUCUGUUUCUCCCGAUUGACUUGUCCCUUCUUUUCGCUCUUUCUCUCCGUCCCUUCUGUUUAUCCUCGACAAUUUUUCAUUCGACGUUGCUUCACCCCUCACGGAGGCGGCUUCUCUCUUACCUUCUCUUUUCUCCGCUCUCUGUCCUCUUUCCUCACGCACGCCCUCGGCUGCUUUGGUUUGUGAAG
rnacentral:misc_RNA from 1 species